rnacentral:rRNA from 1 species
CCUACGGGAGGCAGCAGUGAGGAAUAUUGGUCAAUGGACGAGAGUCUGAACCAGCCAAGUAGCGUGAAGGAUGACUGCCCUAUGGGUUGUAAACUUCUUUUAUAAAGGAAUAAAACGAGGCACGUGUGCCUUUUUGCAUGUACUUUAUGAAUAAGGAUCGACUAACUCCGUGCCAGCAGCCGCGGUAAUACGGAGGAUCCGAGCGUUAUCCGGAUUUAUUGGGUUUAAAGGGAGCGUAGAUGGGUUGUUAAGUCAGUUGUGAAAGUUUGCGGCUCAACCGUAAAAUUGCAGUUGAUACUGGCAUCCUUGAGUACAGUAGAGGUAGGCGGAAUUCGUGGUGUAGCGGUGAAAUGCUUAGAUAUCACGAAGAACUCCGAUUGCGAAGGCAGUCUGCUGGACUGUAACUGACGCUGAUGCUCGAAAGUGUGGGUAUCAAACAGGAUUAGAUACCCUAGUAGUC